rnacentral:miRNA from 1 species
UCACACCUGCCUCACCCCCC